rnacentral:lncRNA from 1 species
GGACAAUAGGGCCCUAAUUUAGAUGACAGGGCCUGGCAGAUAGGGCCACAGAUCUUAUAAAAUGUUUUUAUUUAUUUAUUUUUUGAGAUGGAGUCUCGCUCUGUCUCCCAGGCUGGAGAGCAGGGGCCUGAUCUCGGCUCACUGCAAGCUCCGCCUCCCAGGUUCAUGCCAUUCUCCUGCCUCAGCCUCCGGAGUAGCUGGGACUACAGGCGCCCGCCAACACGCCUGGCUAAUUUUUUGUAUUUUUAGUAGAGACGGGGUUUCACCGUGUUAGCCAGGAUGGUCUCAAUCUCUUGACCUCAUGAUUGGCCUGCCUUGGCCUCCCAAAGUGCUGGGAUUACAGGUGUGAGCCACCGCGCCUGGCCUUUUUAUUAGUAUUAUUAUUUUGAGACAAGUUCUCACUCUGUUGUUCAGGCUGCAGUGCAGUGGCAUGAUCACAGCUCACUGCAGCUUGGAACUCCUGGGUUUAAGUGAUCCCCCUGCCUCAGCCUCCUGUGUAACUGGGAUUACAGGAGUGUACCACCAUGCCCAGCUAAUUUUUUUUUUUUUUAAUAGGGACAAGAGCUUGCCGUGUUGCCCCAGGCUGGUCUCAAACUCCUAGCCUCAAGCAAACUUCCUGUCUCGGCCUUUCAAAACCCUGAGAUUACAAGCAUAAGAAAAGAAAAUCUUGUAAGAUGAAAGCUGAAGGAUGAGAGCAAUUAAUUGAUGAAGUAUGAUGAUCCAGGUGUCCCUGGGUGAAGAAACAACCUCUACAAAGGCCCUGAGGGUCUCGCUCAUCACCAGGCUGGAGUACAGUGACAUGAUCAUGGCUCACUGCAGCCUCAACCUCCCGGGUUCAGGCUAUCCUCCCACCUCAGCCUCCCAGGACCACAGGCGUGUGCCACCAUGCCCAGCUAAUUUUUUGUAGAGAUGGGGUUAUGCCAUGUUGCCCAGGCUGGUCUCGAGCUGCUGGGCACAAGCAAUCUACCCAUCUCAGUCUCCCAAAGUGCUGGCAUUAUAGUCGUGAGCCACUGUGCCCAGCCAACAGCGUCUUUCAAAGAGCAGAGAGAGGUUAAUUUUGAUGAUGUCCAGUUUGCACCUUUGUUGAAAAUUGACCAUAUAUCUGUGAGUCUGUUUCUAGACUCUUUGUUCUGCUUUAUUAAACUACUUGUCUAUUUGUACACCAAUGCCACA